UUCUGAUUCAACAGUAUAGGUGAUCUGGGGCCCGAGAUUCUGCAUUUCUGACAGGCUCUCAGUGAACUCCACCUCAAUGGACCAUGUUUUCAGUAGCGAAGCGUUGUGGGGAACUUUGAUACACACCGCACUUUUUGGUACUCACAGCUACCUUGGGAGAUUGACAUUGUCAUGAACCCCAUUUUAUCGUGUUAAGACAUGGAGGAGCAAAGGGAUUAAAUCACUUGCCUAAGAUCGUACCUGGAGGCCAGGCCAGGGUAGAGCGCAGGCUCAGUUCUGUGAAAAUACAGAGGACGCCCAAGCCAUGAAUGGGCUGCCCUCAUAAGGCCACAUGUAUAAGAAAGGAGGGCAUGAUGAAAGAUGUGGAACUGAGCGUGUGACAGUCCACACAAGCUGAAAGGGCUCAGACGAUCCCCGGACCCUGUUGGCUCGAUACACCACGGGAGACGGGGUGGAGAUACUGGAUCCUCUGCUGUGAAACCAGCCUCAGGCAGGAUCACACACGACAUCCAGUCAUCAUGUCUCCUUUGCCUACAGUUGAGAGAAUUUCUCAAACCUUCCUCGCUUCUGAUGACCUUGACAGUUUUGAGGAAUGCCGGUCAGGUAUUUUAUAGACUGUUCCUCAGUUAGGAUUUAUCUGAUGUUUUCCUAAUGCUUGGACUGGAGGUGUGGGUUUUUGAGAGGAGGACCACAGAGGCAAGAUGCCAUUUCCAUCAGGUCGUAUGAAGGGUGCCUGCAGUCAACAUGAUGGAUC
rnacentral:lncRNA from 13 species